GUGGGGAAUCUUGCACAAUGGGGGAAACCCUGAUGCAGCGACGCCGCGUGAGCGAUGAAGCCCUUCGGGGUGUAAAGCUCUUUCGGCAGGAACGAUUAUGACGGUACCUGCGGAAGAAGCUGCGGCUAACUACGUGCCAGCAGCCGCGGUAAUACGUAGGCAGCAAGCGUUGUUCGGAGUUACUGGGCGUAAAGGGUGUGUAGGCGGUGUCCUAAGUUCGGUGUGAAAUCUCCCGGCUCAACUGGGAGGGUGCGCCGAAAACUGGGAUGCUCGAGCGCGGGAGAGGAAAGUGGAAUUCCUGGUGUAGCGGUGAAAUGCGUAGAUAUCAGGAGGAACACCGGUGGUGAAGACGGCUUUCUGGACCGCCGCUGACGCUGAAACACGAAAGCGUGGGGAGCAAACAGGAUUAGAAACCCGAGUAGUCC
rnacentral:rRNA from 1 species